AAAGUCGUAACAAGGUCUCCGUAGGUGAACCUGCGGAGGGAUCAUUAGCGAAUGGCCCUCUGGGCCUUCAAGCCCCACACAACCGUGGAAGCGAAGCCCGUGCUUUGGCGCCCCUUCCGGCGCCAUCCCGAUGCGGCGGACCCGUCUUGUGUCUGAAUCGACCUUGGAGUUUUAAAAAACUUUCAACAAAGGAUCUCUUGGCUCUC
rnacentral:misc_RNA from 1 species